AUGCAUUUUAUUGCUGGGGUAAACCGUGCGAGAGUUAGGCCCGAAGUUUGGAUGUGCAACAGCCCCAGGGCGCAGCCGCUCCGCUCCGCUCCGCUCCCCGGACCCGGAGGAGCCAGAGCUACGGGCGGCGGCGGCGGCGGCGGCGGCGGGCGAGGCCUCCUGCUUCCCCGUCGCGGGGCUGCCCGCUGCAAAGUUUCCACGCGAUCGAUCGCAGGGCGAGGAGCCCGCUGCCCCCGCCGGCCUGACUUUGCAGGAAAGGCGAGCCGGGAGCCCGGCGGGGGCCGGCAGGGAGAGCGCUGGCAAGCUCCGCGCUCGGCGGGCGGCGCCGGCGCAGGCUCCUUACCUGGGGGACGCGGAACAAAAAGAGGCGCGGGGCUCGCCGAGCCUGCGGCGGCCGCCGCACGGCCCGAGGGGGCUCCCGGCCCGAGCCCUAGGCCCGCGCCCGAGCCCGCGGCCCGGCCCCCGCCGCCGCCGCCGCCGCCGCCGCCGCCGCCGCCGCUUCCUCCCUCGCGCGCGUCAUGUCACGGCGAUCAAACAUGUCUGUGUGCGCUUCGCCGCUGUGACUUCCUGAUUCUCUGCCGCUCGCGCGCGCACACUCACACUCACACUCGCAGGCACACGCGCACGCCACCCCCGCCCGCCCCCGCCGCCGAACCUCGCCUGGCGCUCCCCGGGCUCCCCGCGGCCGCCCGCGCCCCUACCCGCGACGGGGGCACCGGCCCGGCCCCGCGCGCAGCACACACGCACACUCACGCGCAGACACACUCGGCCGGCCCCGAGGGCGCGGAGGCGCGAGCCGCGGGAGCUCGCCGCCCCCUCCCACCCCCUCCCUACUUAGCCGCCCUGCCAAACUUUUUUUUUUUUUUUUUUUUUUCCUGCCUGAUCCACGUCCAACUUCCCUCCCUCCCCACCCCAGCCCCCACCCCCAGCAGGCCGGCCUGCCCUGCGCUCACCAGGAUCCGCCGCAAAGCUGCAACCCGGAUAAAAAUAAUAAUGCAAUCCAGGCGGCGGAGGCAGGGGCGCGCGCGAAGACGCUGGCAGGAGGCGAUUUCCCCGCGUGUACCGGAAACCGGCCGGGCGCCGGGGCCAGGGCACGGGUGUCCCCGGGAGCCCGCACUGCUGCGCCCCGCCCCGCGCGCUGCAACUGCGCCCAGGCUGCGAGGCCUGGUGCGGGGCACCCGGAGCACCGGGCUCGGGGUGCGCCCGCAGCCGGAGGGCGCCUGGGGACGGGCACGCCGGACCGGUUAUUUGGGGAAGUGCAUCGCGACACCUUUGCAGAUGGCAUGGCCCUGUUUUGCAACGCAAACGGGAGGAGGGAAGACGGCCGGAUGGAGGGGGAGAGCAGAGGAAGGGGUAAAUCAGGUUGGGAUGGGAAUAAAGCAAACUCGAAAGCAGGGAGCGAGAAGGAAGGGGUGCGUGUCAUCGUGGGGAGGAGGCUCCCACCCGGUCUCCCCGCCUCCCGCCCUCCCCACCCCCGCCCUCCUCCUCCCCCCACCCCCCACCCCCCACCCCCUCGCAGCCCUUCCCCUUCUCCGGCGAACGCCACCACUGCUGGCCGGGUGCGCGCGGGUCCUGUUUGUGACAGUCAGGCAGAGAGGAUUAUCCGGAUCAUGGCCUCCCGGCCCGCGGCCGCCGUGGCUCUCCCGGGCCCCGGCGAGCCCCUAG
rnacentral:lncRNA from 1 species